UCACAGGUUCCAAGUGCCAAUUCAAACUCUGUGCCCAUUGCUAGGCUUCAGCAAGUUCUACAGACCUCUGCUUUUAACUGCCCAUAACAUGCAGUUCCUAUGGUCCUUGCCUGCUGGCCACUGGUAUGGAUGGAAUGGGCUUCCUAUUACCAGGAGGGGUUACAGAGUGGCAAAAAUCAGUACACAAGACUUAAAAGCUUGACCUCACCACCAAGAAGAAAGACAUCAAAGAAUUAAGCCAGGAGUCAAUUCACUGCAAUGGCAAGGAGUACUUUAAAGCAGAAACCCAGCUUGAAGGGAGACCAUGUCCUUAGAAGGUAUCUGAAGACUUCUUUGUACUGAGCAUGAGCAGAGGUCCACUUCUGGUCAACACUUUGAGUCCACUUCUCAUGGGGUUUCACUGGCUCAUUUGAGUGGAAGCCUGCAAGCCAAACUUUACAGUAGCAACAGUGUAAUUACAUGAUUCUGGACUUGGGGGUGGGGGGGGGUGCCCAAUGUGCCUACCAAUACUCAUACAUCAAAUCUUUGCUCAUGCCUUUCAACUCUCUUUGUGUUAUAAAUGAUUUUUAUGACACAUCUAGUGGGGUUCCUGUUUGAAUAUGAAAUGUCUCCUACAGACUUAUGCUCUAAAACUUAUGGCGGUUGGUCUGGUACUGCUAUGUAUUCAAAUGCUUACUACUGGUC
rnacentral:lncRNA from 1 species